rnacentral:rRNA from 1 species
GGAAUUAUUGGGCGUAAAGAGCUCGUAGGCGGUUUGUCGCGUCUGCUGUGAAAGCCCGGGGCUCAACCCCGGGUCUGCAGUGGGUACGGGCAGACUAGAGUGCAGUAGGGGAGACUGGAAUUCCUGGUGUAGCGGUGAAAUGCGCAGAUAUCAGGAGGAACACCGAUGGCGAAGGCAGGUCUCUGGGCUGUUACUGACGCUGAGGAGCGAAAGCAUGGGGAGCGAACAGGAUUAGAUACCCUGGUAGUCCAUGCCGUAAACGUUGGGCACUAGGUGUGGGGGACAUUCCACGUUUUCCGCGCCGUAGCUAACGCAUUAAGUGCCCCGCCUGGGGAGUACGGCCGCAAGGCUAAAACUCAAAGGAAUUGACGGGGGCCCGCACAAGCGGCGGAGCAUGCGGAUUAAUUCGAUGCAACGCGAAGAACCUUACCAAGGCUUGACAUUCACCGGACCGCCCCAGAGAUGGGGUUUCCCUUCGGGGCUGGUGGACAGGUGGUGCAUGGUUGUCGUCAGCUCGUGUCGUGAGAUGUUGGGUUAAGUCCCGCAACGAGCGCAACCCUCGUUCUAUGUUGCCAGCACGUGAUGGUGGGGACUCAUAGGAGACUGCCGGGGUCAACUCGGAGGAAGGUGGGGAUGACGUCAAAUCAUCAUGCCCCUUAUGUCUUGGGCUUCACGCAUGCUACAAUGGCCGGUACAAAGGGUUGCGAUACUGUGAGGUGGAGCUAAUCCCAAAAAGCCGGUCUCAGUUCGGAUUGAGGUCUGCAACUCGACCUCAUGAAGUCGGAGUCGCUAGUAAUCGCAGAUCAGCAACGCUGCGGUGAAUACGUUCCCGGGCCUUGUACACACCGCCCGUCAAGUCACGAAAGUUGGUAACACCCGAAGCCGGUGGCCUAACCCCUUGUGG